rnacentral:piRNA from 1 species
UAGACAGGAAGAACCAUUAUCUGGUCUGUC